UCAAGUUAUUAAGGGUGCAGGGCGGAUGCCUUGGCACUAGGAGCCGAUGAAGGACGUGAUAAGCUGCGAUAAGCUUCGGGGAGUUGCACGUAAACUUUGAUCCGAAGAUUUCCGAAUGAGGAAACUCACUUAGAGUAAUGUCUAAGUAUCAUUAAGUGAAUACAUAGCUUAAUGAGGGGAACUCAGGGAACUGAAACAUCUAAGUACCUGAAGGAAGAGAAAGAAAUUCGAUUCCGUAAGUAGCGGCGAGCGAACGCGGAUUAGCCCAAACCAAUAAAGUUUUCUUUAUUGGGGUUGCGGACAUAUCAUAACGAAGAGGUAUCGUAAUUGAAGAGGUUUGGAAAGACCCACCACAGAAGGUAAUAGUCCUGUAUGUUAAACGAGAAGACUUCAGAUAUGAUCCAGAGUACCACGGGACACGUGAAACCCUGUGGGAAGCAGGAGGGACCACCCUCCAAGGCUAAAUACUACCUAGUGACCGAUAGCGUAUAGUACCGUGAGGGAAAGGUGAAAAGAACCCCGGGAGGGGAGUGAAAUAGAACCUGAAACCCUGCACUUACAAGCUGUGGAAGCACAUUUCUUGUGUGACCGCGUACUUUUUGUAGAACGGGCCAACGAGUUACGUUAAGUAGCAAGGUUAAGCACUUAAGGUGUGGAGCCGUAGCGAAAGCGAGUUUUAACUGAGCGUUCAGUUACUUGACGUAGACCCGAAACCGGGCGACCUACCCAUGAGCAGGAUGAAGCGAAAGUAAAAUUUCGUGGAGGUCCGAACCCACGAGCGUUGAAAAGCUCGGGGAUGACUUGUGGGUAGCGGUGAAAUUCCAAUCGAGCCCGGAGAUAGCUGGUUCUCCCCGAAAUAGCUUUAGGGCUAGCCUCAAGGUGAGAGAUACGGAGGUAGAGCACUGAAUGUCCUAGGGGGUAUUGCACCUACCGAAGACUAUCAAACUCCGAAUGCCGUCAUCUUAUACUUGGGAGUCAGACUGUGGGUGAUAAGAUUCAUAGUCGAAAGGGCAACAGCCCAGAUCGUCAGCUAAGGUCCCUAAAUGUAAGUUAAGUGGUAAAGGAUGUGGGAUUGCACAGACAACCAGGAUGUUGGCUUAGAAGCAGCCACUCAUUCAAAGAGUGCGUAAUAGCUCACUGGUCGAGUGAUCCUGCGCCGAAGAUUUCCGGGGCUAAAACUUACUACCGAAGCUACGGCAUCAGUAAUGAUGGGUAGGGGAGCUUCCCAUACGGGUUGAAGCAUGACCGUAAGGACAUGUGGACAGUAUGGGAGUGAGAAUGUUGGCAUGAGUAGCGAGAUGUGGGUGAGAAUCCCACAGGCCGUAAACCCAAGGUUUCCAGGGGAAGGUUCGUCCGCCCUGGGUUAGUCGGGACCUAAGCUGAGGCCGAAAGGCGUAGGUGAUGGACAACAGGUUGAUAUUCCUGUACUACCGAUAACCGUUUGAGAGAAGGGAUGACACAGUAGGAUAAGCUAAGCACACUGUUGGUUAUGUGUGCCCAAGCAUUGAGGCAGUCAAAGUAGGCAAAUCCGCUUUGAUAAUGCUGGGAUGUGAUGGGGAGCGAAAUUUAGUAGCGAAGUAGCUGAUUUCACCUGUCAAGAAAAGUCUCUAUCGAGGUUAAAGGUACCCGUACCGCAAACCGACACAGGUGGGUGAGGAGAGUAUCCUAAGGCCAGCGAGAGAACUGUUGUUAAGGAACUCGGCAAAAUGACCCCGUAACUUAGGGAUAAGGGGUGCCACCAUCAGGUGGCCGCAGAGAAUAGGCCCAAGCGACUGUUUACCAAAAACAUAGGUUUCUGCUAAGUCGCAAGACGAUGUAUAGGAGCUGACGCCUGCCCGGUGCUGGAAGGUUAAGGGGAUCUGUUAGAGCAAUCGAAGCAGUGAACUUAAGCCCCAGUAAACGGCGGCCGUAACUAUAACGGUCCUAAGGUAGCGAAAUUCCUUGUCGGGUAAGUUCCGACCCGCACGAAAGGCGUAACGAUUUGGGCACUGUCUCAACAACAGACUCGGUGAAAUUGUAAUUCCGGUGAAGAUGCCGGAUACCUGCGACAGGACGGAAAGACCCCAUGGAGCUUUACUGUAGCUUGACAUUGGGUCUUGGUACUACAUGUACAGGAUAGGUGGGAGGCUUUGAAACCAGGACGCCAGUUUUGGCGGAGCCAUCCUUGGGAUACCACCCUUGUAGUACUGGGACUCUAACCAUAGGCCAUGAAUCUGGUCUUGGGACACUGUCAGGUGGGCAGUUUGACUGGGGCGGUCGCCUCCCAAAAGGUAACGGAGGCGCUCAAAGGUUCUCUCAGUACGGUCGGAAAUCGUACGUAGAGUGUAAAGGCAAAAGAGAGCUUGAUUGCAAGACAUACAGGUCGAGCAAGGAUGAAAAUCGGACUUAGUGAUCCGGUGGUUCUGCGUGGAAGGGCCAUCGCUCAACGGAUAAAAGCUACCCUGGGGAUAACAGGCUUAUCUCCCCCAAGAGUCCACAUCGACGGGGAGGUUUGGCACCUCGAUGUCGGCUCAUCACAUCCUGGGGCUGUAGUAGGUCCCAAGGGUUGGGCUGUUCGCCCAUUAAAGUGGUACGCGAGCUGGGUUCAGAACGUCGUGAGACAGUUCGGUCCCUAUCCGUCGCAGGCGUAGGAAAUUUGAGAAGACCUGUCCUUAGUACGAGAGGACCGGGAUGGACGUACCUCUGGUGUACCAGUUGUUCUGCCAAGGGCAUGGCUGGGUAGCUAUGUACGGAAUGGAUAAGCGCUGAAAGCAUCUAAGCGCGAAGCCAACUUCAAGAUAAGAUUUCCCACCGUAAGGGUAAGACCCCAGAAAGACUAUCUGGUUGAUAGGUCGAAGGUGUAAGUGCAGCAAUGUAUUUAGCUUAUCGAUACUAAUAGGUCGAGGACUUGACCAA
rnacentral:rRNA from 1 species